rnacentral:rRNA from 1 species
UACGAAGGCGGCUAGCGUUGCUCGGAAUGACUGGGCGUAAAGGGCGCGUAGGCGGUUCACACAGUCAGGCGUGAAAUUCCUGGGCUUAACCUGGGGGCUGCGUUUGAUACGUGUGGGCUUGAGGGUGGAAGAGGCUCGUGGAAUUCCCAGUGUAGAGUUGAAAUUCGUAGAUAUUGGGAAGAACACCGGUGGCGAAGGGGGCGAGCUGGUCCAUUUCUGACGCUGAGGCGCGAAAGCGUGGGAGCAAACAGG